UUCAGUAACAUUGGUAGGUGUGUAGAGGCGGAACCAGAGAUUACGGUCGCUGUCGAUGACGAAAUCGAAGGAUUUGACGCCAUUUUUGGGCUGACUUGAAGCAGAGCAUUUUAGGUCAACGAGGUUGAAGAGGCGACGGUUGCAGGUCAUGUUAGGGCGGCAAGAUACGUCGACGGCGAAGGCCACUGCCGACAUGAAGAGCCUUGUCGUCCAUGGGAGGUUUGGUGAGGCUUUAGCUUCAGGGUUUCCUGAAUCUGGCAUGUUGAUAUUAUUAGUUUCUAAUUUGCUAUCAAUAACUAAUGAGUGAUCACCGUGUGACCGUGUCUAGGUCUUUGGCUUUAUCGUCAAAAAAUAAUAAUAACCAAGUUGAAAGAUUUUUAUGAGCUUUCAAUUAUUGCAGAUAUUAGAUCAGUAGGUAAUCUAGCUUAUCAAAACGGGCUUGCUCAAUGGGAGAAAAACCGAAGUUGGACGUGUUUAUUUUCGUCGAGGUGAUUUAAUGUGAUUUUUUAUUGGUAAGUUUAAUGAAAUCUUAUGGUUGUCGAAGCCAACAAAAAUAAAUUCCUACUCUAAAUAAAUUGUGUAUAGUGAUUGAGCAGAGUCGUAUCCACAGAGAUCGGUAAUUAUUUAAAUCCUUUUGAAACGUAAAACGUAAAAUGGGGGAAUUGUUGACAAUAAUAAAAAUCAAAUUAAAAAUAACAAGAAUGCAAAUUAAAGUUGUAAUUCAAAUUGGAGAAAGCUCUGGUUGAAGGAAUUAACUCAGCUUGAUUCGACUACUGAUCAUUGAUUCAAAUAUAGAUUAUUAUUACUUAUGAAUAGACCGGUUAUAGCUAUUGAGACCCUCUAAUAGCCAAUCUCUCCUUAACUAGUCGAUAACCAAGGUACGACCGUUGGAUAUUUCCCUAAUCAAUAGACAACCCUAGAUACGAUCAUAUGAUUUAAUCAAUUGACAGCCUGAAAAACCAGAAAGACCCAAAUCCUAAUCAACACAUAUGAUGAUUCAUUUAAAUUAGAUUGUUUAUUCUCAUAACACAACUCACUGCUAUGUUAUUUGUCACAAACAUUAAAAUCUUCAUACGAUGAAUCCUUUAAUUGACAAUAGAUUAAGUUGAUAAUUAAAUAGUGGCCAAUUACCUAAUUAACAAACAUAAUCAUGAAAUUAAUUCAGAGAAUAAACAAAUACCCAAAAAGUAAUAAAACAAUUAAAGCAUAAGAAAGAUCUCACAGUAGUGAUGAAUCAAAGCUUCAUUAACCUUCAACCAGAAAAAUAGGUUUAGUUCUUCAUUGAGAGAAGAGAAAAGUUUAGAUCUAGGGUUUCUUUCUUUUUCUCCAAUCUCCUUUUUCACAAUAGAUUUCUCCCUUAAAUACUCUCUCUCUCUUCUCUUUUAGAGUUCUAUUUAAAAUAAAAUACUAAUAUCUGAAAUAUAAAAUUCGUAAUUACAAAAAUAGCCAAAAAUACAAAACACGUUAAACUAAAAACUGCAGGUCCGCAGUUGACAGCACGCGCCCACGCCUUAUCAACAAAGUUCUUCUGCCGUUCAUAAUUUCUCCAAGAGAACAAUCAUCCUUAAACAUCAUCUUGUAGCUCAAUUUUAUCACCAAUCAAUAUAAUUGCACCUACAAAAGUAAAUCACAAGUAAAUCACUAUUAUUAAGUGCAAAACAUCGAUAUUAAGGGAAGUAAACAAUGCAAAACUAGUGCAUAAAUUGCACUCUAACAAAUUCCCCCACACCAAGAUGAUGUUUGUCCUCAAGCAUAUAACUCAAGACUAAUUUCAAAUAUCCACUAAAUUCUCAUCUCAACUCAUCCAAAAACAAUUUUAAGCAAGUAUACCUCAAGAAAUUAAGUCGAUCAACAUUCGAGAGACAAGGAUUUUAGAGCAUAGAAUUUCAUAAGAUAGAAUAAGAACAUUCAACCACCAAGAGGAUCCAUUCAUAAUUCAAGUGCAACAAGAUUAAUAGCCCUCUCAAUAACUUCACUCCAUGCACUCAAAGUGUUUAGGGUGUCAUUUAUUCACUCAAAUCAAAUCAAAGAAUGCUAUCACCAUAAGCUUGCUCAUAUAUCACAUCUCAAUCCACAAAACAUGAAUAAAUUGCAAAAAUCUAAGGGUCUUAAAAGAGUUGUAAUGGGGUUAAAUAGGUUAAAUGAAAAAGAAAGGUCCAUGAAAGAGAAAAAGAGAUCAAAAUGAGAAGAAUGAACUCAUUAAAUGAACUUAUGAUAUCAAAAUGCUUAUUUCUACUCAAGUCACCAAGAAUGUAAACUUUUUUUUUCGAUUUUUCUUUUUUUUUUCUUUUUCCUCUUUUUUUUUCUUUUUCCUUUUUUUUGUUCUUUGUUUUUUUUUUAAUCAAACAAAAGAAACGAACCUUGCACAAUUUAAUUCAAGCAUAAUGCUUGUUGAUCUAAUUGAGAAAUUUUAAUACAAGGUAGAAAAAGCAACAAAAUAUAUCCACACAAUGAGUCCAAAAAUCUCCUUAAAUUGAGGCUCAAAAAGAAAAAAAAUGGUUAAGUAGACGGAGAGAAUUAGAUGGGUAAUGGUUAAGGCUCAAACAAAGGUAGCAAAUAAAGGUCUUCGGGUAGAGAAAAAGGAAAAUGCGAGAAUAGAAAAAUGGUAAAUGGUUUGCCCUUAUCAUUUUAAUGCAUAAAAUCCCGUAAUGUGGCUUCAACAUGCAUAACAAAGUAAGUUCUAGAAUAAACAAAUUAGGAUUGAUAUUCACAUAACAAAAAUAAUUAGAGCAAAGUGGUUGCUCAUAGACUCAAAUCCUCACAAAGUUGGUAAAUUUGCCAUCAAAUCAUGUACACUCUUCAAAUGAAUCAACCAUCAAUAGUGGUUUGGAAUGAGAAGAAGGUAUGAGUGAUAUAUAAAAGGAAAUGUAAAAAUGAUAAGAAGUGAGAAAGAGAUAUGUAGUAAUAUGAAAAGUGAAAGAUAAAAUGUGAGUGAUGAAAGAGUAUGAUAGAAUAAAAAUAGACGUAAAUAAUUUGAGAUAGAUGGGAAAAGAGUAGUGAGAAAGAAAAGAAAAGAAAAAAAUAAUAAUAUAUGAAGCAUACUAACUCCAAAAUCAUUUAAGGAUGAGUAGAGUGAAAAUAGAUGAGCAGAGUGAAAAUAAUAAUUCCAAACAUCAAUAAUGCAAAAAAUCCCUCCCCCACACCAAGAACUUACAUUGUCCCCAAUAUAAGAUAAUCAAAGCUCACAUAAAAAUUAAAGCAUAAGGAUAAAAGAUUAAAGGCAAAAAAAAAAAAAAAAAACUUUCCUGAAUUGUGAGCUUUGAUCCACAUAACGUCUAUGGGCUUGGCGGAAAUGGUGGGGUAAAUCCCACACUCUUGAAGUAUGCGGCCAAAUUCUGCUCCAUCUUGUUCAUCUUGUGCUCCAUUUUCUCUAACUGAAUGGUCAAAGGUGGUGCAGAUGUAGAAAGAAUAGUUGGCGGGGCAGCAGUGUCGUCGUCAAACUCGUCAUCAGAGGUAGCACCACUCCUAGCAUAAAGCUUCUUCGGAGGUUGAGUGGGUCCUGGUUCAGUAAACUAAAAUCUCCCCUCCUUGAAUUCGACCACACCUCUCUUUUUCUUGUUGAGUCGCGAAUGUGAGGCAUCCUCCGAGAUUGGAUUCCACAAGUGGCAAAACACUCAUGCCUUUUCCAUGUUUCGAUCUUUGUCUCAUUUUCUAAUAAGCACGUGGGCACGCCUUAAAACCAUUUUGCUUUAAAAAUCACAGAAGUACUUAUUAGUUAAGACGUGGGCACGCCUUAUCAAAAAUUUUCUUCUGACCAAAAUAAGCAAACGCAUUAUUUUUUAAAAAAAAUCUGAAUCAAAAUUAAAAGAAGAUACAACAAAAACCGAAAUAAAUAAAUCAUUUGGGUUGCCUCCCAAAAAGCGCCUUUGUUUUUUGUCUUUGGCUAGACACAUUUAUGCAUCAAUCUCCAUAAUUGGGACUUUCGAGAGCUACAUCCUCCACAAUAUUCACCGAAAAACCUUCAUAAAAGGGUUUUAAGCGAUGACCAUUAGCCUUAAAAACUUUGUCAGAGGUCGGACUCUGAAUCUCAACUGCACCAUGAAGAAAAACAUUAGUAACAAUAAAAGGUCCAACCCAGCAAGAACGUAAUUUACCCGGAAAAAGUUUAAGCUUAGAAUGAAAAAGAAGAACUUUUUGACCAAUAGAGAACUCAUUUCUCAAAAUUAUUCAAUCAUGAAAUGUCUUUGUCUUCUCCUUGUAAAAAACUUUCUGCGUUAUAGGAUUAAUAACAUCCACAGAAAAUACCGAAUGUUCCUCACUAGGAUAUUUCAUGGCAUCAUUCAUAUUGAAUUCUAUAACCUCUCCAUCAAACUCCAUAGUGAGAGUCCCUUUAUGUACAUCCAUUUUAGUCCUAGCAGUCUUAAGAAAAUGUCUUCCUAGCAAAAUUGGGACAGAAUUAGAGGAGUUAUCAUCUUCCAUAUCAAGUACAUAAAAAUCAGCAGGAAAAACCAACUCAUUAACUUGUACUAAGACAUCUUCUAAUACCCCAUCAGGAUAUGCAUUAGACCUAUCAGCUAGUUGAAUUAUCACACCAGUUUCUUUUAAUGGACCAACAUUCAAAGAUGAAUAAAUGGAACGAGGCAUGACAUUAAUAGAAGCUCCUAGAUCUAACAUAGCCUUUUCAACUCUAACACUACCAAUUUUACAAGGAAUAGUAAACAUACCUGGAUCCUUGCACUUAGGAGGUAGUUUCUUUUGGAGAACUGCUGAAACAUUCUCCCCCAUGUGAACUUUUUCAUCUCCUCUUAAUUUUCUCUUAGAGGUGCACAGUUCCUUAAGGACUUUAGCAUAUCGAGGUAUUUGUUUUAUAGCAUCUAAUAAAGAAAUAUUUACCUCAACCUUGCGAAAUGUCUCAAGGAUGUCUUUCUCUUGUUCCUCCUUCUUGGAUUUUGCAAACCGGCUUGGAAAAGGAGGAGGUAUCACAAUAGGUAGGGGUUUCGCUCUAGUGGGUUCCGCAUCUUGAGAUUUAGGCAUCAAUUCAUUCUUCUCAAGCUCAUCUUCUACAUGCUUUGUCACUUUCUUACUAGGCUCUUGCAACUCCUUCCCACUUCUAAGGAUGACAGCACUAACGUUUUGAUUUGGAUUCACCUCAGAUUGUGAAGGCAAUCUCCCUAAUACUUGAGACUCCAGAUGGCUCACUGUAGUCGCCAAUUGACUCAUUUGGUUCUCCAAAUUCUGAAUGCUUGUUGUAGUUGCCUGCUGAAAUUGUUGAGUGUUAGUCGCAAGUGAUUUAACAAUUUCUUCAAGAGAUAUACCUGACUUGGAGUUUGACUGUGGAGGUGCUGGUUGUCUUGGUGGAUACUGUUGUGGGAAUCCUGACGGCCUAACUCCAUAGCUGAAGUUGGGAUGAUCCUUCCAUCCCGGAUUGUAUAUUUGUGCAUAAAGAUCAUACCUCCUCUGAGGCAUGCCUAGAAAUCCUCCAACUGCAUUGGCUUGUUCAACGGGUUCUUCUUGAAGUGUAGGACACAUAUCGGUUGAAUGACCCAUAUUGUAACAAAUGCCACAAGUCUUCACCUGUUGCACAUUACGUACAACAAACUUUUCCACAAGAGAAGUAAGUUUAUCUAAACGUUGUUCAACAGAAGAAAUAUUUACCUCAUUCACCUUCCUUGAAGUAAGAUCUUGCCUGCUGCCAAAUUGUUGUGCGUUGGCAGCCAUAUUUGAUAUCAGCUCCCUUGCUUGAGUAGGGGUCUUGUUCACCAACACGCCUCCACUAGCAGCAUCUAUCAUACUCCUAUCCAUCAAUGACAGUCUUUCGUAAAAAUAUUGAAUAAGAAGUUGAUCAGAAAUCUGAUGAUGAGGACAGCUGGCACACAAUUGUUUGAAUCGCUCCCAAUACUCAUACAAAGUCUCCCCAGGAAGUUGUCUGAUCCCACAAAUAUCUUUUCUGAUGUUGGCAGCUCUUGAAGCAGGAAAGUACUUCUCGAGGAACUGCUUCUUCAAACCAUUCCACGUUGUAAUCGAUCCAGGAGGCAAGUAGUACAACCAAUCUUUAGCUAGCCCAUCUACAGAGAACGGAAAAGCACGCAGCUUAAUCUGCUCUUCAGUCACGCCUUGUGGCCUCAUACUUGAGCACACAACAUGAAACUCUUUGAGAUGUUUAUGAGGAUCUUCACCUGCAAAACCAUGAAACUUGGGUAAUAAAUGAAUAAGACCAGACUUUAAUUCAAAAUUUACCUCCAAGUCUACAUAUUGAAUGCAGAGUGGUUGUUGAUUCAAGUCUGGUUCAGCUAACUCUCUAAGAGUUCUUUCUAUAGGUGCAGCUCUAUCCAUCACUUGUUCUUUUGAAUCGCUAGAUGAUUCAACUAAAUCAGGCACUGUAUCUGUUUCAGAAAGCAAAGGUGACGAGGAUCGUUGCUUAGCUCGCUUCGUCUGCUGUCUCAGCUGGCGAGCUGUCUUCUCAAUUUCAGGAUCAAACGAAAGUGUACUUGUAGGAGAAGAACGAACCAUACACCAAGUAAAACGUAAAAAGGAUUAAAUAAACGACACCAAUCCCCGGCAACGGCGCCAAAAUUUGAUGGUUGUCGAAGCCAACAAAAAUAAAUUCCUACUCUAAAUAAAUUGUGUAUAGUGAUUGAGCAGGGUCGUGUCCACAUAGAUCGGUAAUUAUUUAAAUCCUUUUGAAACGUAAAAUGUAAAAUGGGGGAAUUGUUGACAAUAAUAAAAAUCAAAUUAAAAAUAACAAGAAUGCAAAUUAAAGUUGUAAUUCAAAUUGGAGAAAGCUCUAGUUGAAGGAAUUAACUCAGCUUGAUUCGACUACUGAUCAUUGAUUCAAAUAUAGAUUAUUAUUACUUAUGAAUAGACCGGUUAUAGCUAUUAAGACCCUCUAAUAGCCAAUCUCUCCUUAACUAGUCGAUAACCAAGGUACGACCGUUGGAUAUUUCCCUAAUCAAUAGACAACCCUAGAUACGAUCAUAGGAUUUAAUCAAUUGACAGCCUGAAAAACCAGAAAGACCCAAAUCCUAAUCAAUACAUAUGAUGAUUCAUUUAAAUUAGAUUGUUUAUUCUCAUAACACAACUCACUGCUAUGUUAUUUGUCACAAACAUUAAAAUCUUCAUACGAUGAAUCCUUUAAUUGACAAUAGAUUAAGUUGAUAAUUAAAUAGUGGCCAAUUACCUAAUUAACAAACAUAAUCAUGAAAUUAAUUCAGAGAAUAAACAAAUACCCAAAAAGUAAUAAAACAAUUAAAGCAUAAGAAAGAUCUCACAGUAGUGAUGAAUCAAAGCUUCAUUAACCUUCAACCAGAAAAAUAGGUUUAGUUCUUCAUUGAGAGAAGAGAAAAGUUUAGAUCUAGGGUUUCUUUCUUUUUCUCCAAUCUCCUUUUUCACAAUAGAUUUCUCCCUUAAAUACUCUCUCUCUCUUCUCUUUUAGAGUUCUAUUUAAAAUAAAAUACUAAUAUCUGAAAUAUAAAAUUCGUAAUUACAAAAAUAGCCAAAAAUACAAAACACGUUAAACUAAAAACUGCAGGUCCGCAGUUGACAGCACGCGCCCACGCCUUAUCAACAAAGUUCUUCUGUCGUUCAUAAUUUUUCCAAGAGAACAAUCAUCCUUAAACAUCAUCUUGUAGCUCAAUUUUAUCACCAAUCAAUAUAAUUGCACCUACAAAAGUAAAUCACAAUUAAAUCACUAUUAUUAAGUGCAAAACAUCGAUAUUAAGGGAAGUAAACAAUGCAAAACUAGUGCAUAAAUUGCACUCUAACAAAAUCUUCUGGGAUUCAUAAUUUUUUUUUUUAAUUUUAAAUUACGUAGAUCGUACUCACAUUAAAAAUUGAUGGGUACUACUAAAAGGCCACAUACUUAUCAAAUCUUAAAUGCUCAGACUAAUCUGCUAAGGCGUGCACAAAUUUUUCUCACUUUGUGAAGUGUUCGAUUAUAAUAAGAGCAUUAAUAUAUGUAUAUAAUUUGACUAAAUUUUGACAAAAAAUAUAUUUUAAAGGGUAUCAUUUUAAAUAUAUUUUUGUUUAGGAUUUAAUCCACCUUUAGUUUCCAAUCAUUUUUCUUAAAAUAAUAGUAAUUGGGGGAUAAUGGAAUAUAUGUAUGAUUUUUUUAUAUUAAUAAAUUUUUUUGGAGCUAUUCUAACUUUUUUUACUUCAUAACAAAAUUCUUUGAAGCAUUAAAAUAUAAAAUCAAAGGAUUUUCUAUGGAGAAUAGGAUGACCUUUAUAAGCUUUCUCUAUUCGUUUUACUUACCGCUGGUAAAAUUUGGCUCGAUUCAAUUAUCCAACAUGAACAUGACAUGAAUAAAUGAGUGUAGGUCGUUAAAUUUAAUACAAUUAUUAAAUAGGCUAGGUCUGGUUUGACGUGAUUUUUUUUUCUGUGUUGGAAUAAGAUUUUCUUAACUCAUUUACCCGAAUAACAACACGAUUAUAUAUAUUUUUAAAUUAAUUUUGAGGUUCUUGUCAUUAAAAUUCAAAUAUUAGAUAUGAUUCUCUCUUUUUAUUUUUAUUUUUUAGAAGGGUAGACAUAUACACAGUAUUUUAUUUAUAAAAUUUAUAUAGAUUUAGAACUUUAAUCAUGUAAAUGUGUAAUUUUUUUUGGCGGGAGGGUGUGUAUAUGUGGUUGUGUGUGUGUAACAUUUAUUAAAUACAUAGAUAUUAAAUGGGUUAUUCGGUAAUCCGUUUUUGAGUCUUAAUGUUUUCACACGAUUAUUAAAUGAAUCGGGUUUGAAUCAACUUAAAUUUAACAUAAUACAAACACAACACGACUACCCAUUUUGCCAGCUCUAGUUUUAUUAUUUAGACAAUUAGAGCAUCUCCAAAAGACUAUUAAUUUUACUCUUCAAAUAUUUAUUUGCUUACCUAUGUGGUAAAAAGGAGAGUGAAAAUAUGUUAUUUAAAAAAAAUUCAAAUAGAAAUAAGUAUUAUUUUAAAUAAAUAAAUAUUUUUUCAAUGGAAAAAUAUAUGAUAAUUAAAGCACUUCUCUCUCUCCAAUAAAACUAAUAAAAUAUAAAUUAAACAGAGAAAAAAUAACUUUAUAAAAUUGAAAAGAGAAAAUUAUUUUUUAUUUAAAAAUUUUUAAUUGAAAUAUUUUUUAAAUUUUUAAAUAUUGAUGUGUUUCUUUAAAUAAGUAAUAAAAUCAUAUUUAAGGAAUUUUUUUUAGAGAUGUUCUUACAAAUGAUAAAAAAUGAACUUAUUUUGUAAUUCCCAAUUACAGCUUAUUGAAGAUAUAUGUAUGCAUGUGGCUCGUUAACUUCAAACAUGUGUUAAAAACUUGUCAAUUAAAGAUUGGUUUACGUACCCAACUGUCAUUGCAUUAAAAUUUAAGAAGAUAUUAUGUGAGACCAACAUAUCACUUCAACAAGGCAGGCCCAGUUGGUCGUUGAGUCUCGAAGCAGUAAUUACAAUGGGUCCAUUAAGUUCAAUGUGAAAACAUCAAUGAAAUAUAUAUAUAUUUUUUAUUUUACCAGCUUUAUCUUCUUUUUCUCGGAUCUUUGGGGUUGUUUCUAUAUAGAUUCCUCUUUCAUUGUAGCCACUUAUAAAUGCAAGACUUCAUAUCAAGUUGAUAAAUGUUCAAUUCUUUUUAAGUAGAAAGUGUAACAAGAUCUCAAAUUUUAUCCAAACGAUCGAGCGACUCAGCAACAUGAGAAAACCUUACAUUGUAAUCGACUCCAAAAUAUUGUAAUUGAUACGAACCUUACUUUGGGUUUACGUAUUGAACCAUCAGGAUUGAGCCUUGUUUGUAGACCACUUUAAUGAUUUCUUUCUCUUCAGGACAAUUAACUAACUACCAUGUUCUGUUUUUUGAAAUCAUCUUUAUCUCUUUCUACAAAACUUUCACCCGUAUUUUUUUAUUUGAUGCAACUACAUUAAUUAUCUAGUUGUAAAUUUGUAAAUUUCCAUUAGUGACAGUUGGCAUUUGGCACCAGACCCAUACACCUAAAAACUUUUCCAGCCAGAGCUGCUCUUAAAAGUACUCAACCCUGAUGCCAUAUUGAAUUUAAAGAAGAGUUGACUAUUGCCAACCGUCAUUAAUCUCUUGACUGCGUUUGUCACACUGUAUUAUAUUACAUUAAGAAUAUAUUUGGUAUACUAUUAUAUUAUUUAAUACAUGUGUGUAGUAUUAUAUUGUAUUAUACUAAUGCUGCAUUUAAAUACUAUUGUACAGUAUUUAAUGCUACUAUAUUAAGUUCUAAUUAUACUAUACUUGGUGUUGCACUAUAUUGAUUGUAUUCAUUUUUUAAUGAUUAAUUUAAAUUAUAUAUUUAGAAAACAAUAUUUAUAAGGUAACACCGAGUGGGAUUAGCAUGAUAAUUGAAAAUAAUCAAAUAAUAAAGUAAUUUUGGCUGGAUUUAAUAGUUAAUUUUAUUAAUGUUCUAUCAGCCUUUAGUUUCUUUAAUAAUUUUUUAUAUUAAUAAUUAUAUUUCAUAUACUAUCAAUUUUUAUUUUAUUAUUAUAAUUUUUUUUAUAAUACCUCAAUAUCAAACGGAAUUUAAAUGAAUGGUAUACUAAUCAAAAGUAGGCCAAAGAAUUGAAGAUUAGACGUGUGUUAGCACACUGCUAAAAAAUAUUUUUAAUAAAAUAAAUAAAUAAGACAUCAUACAUGAUACAUUUGUUUCAUCAUAAAAUUGAUAUGGUCACCAUGAAAUUGCUAAAUUUGGGACUUACAUAAAUUUUAGGGCCUAGCACGAGACGGGCCUUGCGUUGGACAUGUAUCGUGUCACUACAAACGGGUAGUGCCAAGCUGGAAGUAUUCAAAACUAGGUUGAGUCCAUGCUGGGUUGGGCUGAUCCGACUGAGGCCCUAUUUAAUAUUAAAAUUAAAUAGUUAUAUUUUAAAAGCAGUGUUUCGUAUACACUACUGUUGUGGCAUAAAAAUUAAAUUAAUUUUAUUUCAUUACUUGUAUGAUAAAAAAUUUAUAAUAUUUUUAUUACUUUUAUAAAAUUAUUAUCUAAAAGUCAUAUUUACUACACAUUAUAAAUUUUUUUUAUAAUUACAACUUUUUUCAAUAACACCUCAAUACUAAAUAUGAUCUCAAUUAUCCCGUCUAAAUACGCACGACAAUGCUAGCGGUGCUAAAUGUUAUGAAAAUAUCAAUUUUUAUAUGGAUAUGUUCAUUAAAACAAAACUUUUACUCUCCCCAAAUAGCAACUUUUUAUCGGUUCAUAUCUCUGACUAUCAACAAAAAGGUUAUGAUCUAUAACCCUUUAAUUUGACUAUCCACUUACAACAAUUUAUGAUUAUGAGACUAUAAAAAGAGAGUUCGCUUUUAUUUUAUUUUAUUUUUUCAAGUUUGUACACACUAAAGAGAGAUAGCGUUGGUUUAUUGAGUAAAAAAAUCUUUUUUGUUCCCUCUAUUUCUCUUGUUAAAAUAUUUGUGUUUUACAUAUAUUGAUAAAUUUAUAAUUGGAAUUAUUUAUUAUGGAGCCUGUAAAUCGGAGCCUGCAAUAAACAAGUAUAAGUGAUCUCUAUGCAAUUGCUGCAUUUUUAACAACUUUUUGUAGUUACAAUUUACGUAUUCGCACAGUUUUUCUUUUUGAAACGUAUGCAUUUGCACAAUUGAAUGUAUAUAUUACAAAAUACUUAGUAAGUAACUAUAAUAUUGCUAUAAAUAAUCAAAUGUUUACAACAAAACACUUGUGAUAGCUUAUACUUUACAACUGAUGGCCACUGCACAACAGUUGUACUCGAGAGUUCAAACGUCAAUGAUAUUUACCCAUAAAACUUUAGAAGGCACAUGAGGACCACAAAAAUCGCACCCGUGCUGAUUUUUUCCCAUUUCACACCACAUGGGCCACGAAAACGACAUAGGCAAGUAUCAUUUUAGAAAAUCAAAAUGGUUCACACAAUUCAAGACCCGAUAUUUGUGGAAAUAGGCCCCACUUCUUUUUAUUAUUUCUUCCCCAAAAGGCAAAACUACAAAAAUUUUGAAUCCGGCAUUUCGUUGACUGUUUAUUGUUUAAUUCCAUGCUCUGUGCCUCAAACAAUUUGAGAAAGAGAUAACUCACUCACUUCUUUUAAAUUAAAAAAAAAAAUUUUGGUAACGAACCACUAAAAAGGCAUAUAUAAUGCAAGCAUUGAAACUUAAUUAAUUUCUAGCUAAAAGCAUGAAAAUUUCACAACAAUUAGAAAUGGAAAGAGUACAUACACAUGAGUACAAUUUGAAUUCCAAUUACUUAAUUAAACAAAGAGUGAGAGAGUGAUUCAUUUUUUACUUCAUUCAUGAUUUAGCAGAUUGAUCUUGUAUAAAAUUCCUGACGUUAUCAAUGAACAAAGAUCCCUGGUGUAGCUCAGGGAAAAAAUAGAAACCAUGAACCACAUUCGGAUACUCAAUCAAAUAAGCUUCUUUGCCAUGUCUCUUCAAUCCCUCGUAGUGCCUCUUCUGCCAAACUUUUAAAGGAUCAAACCCACCAACAAUUACCAUCGUCGCCGGGAUGUCCACGCCGGAAAUAUCAAUGGCGUUCUUCCCAAAAGUAUUCGCUGCCGGAUGGUCACGAUCAGACCCUUCCGGCAAAAAAGCUUUCCACAUCCAGUCAGAAUGCUUCAAUGAAACCAAUGGAGUUAUAUCAUUAAGAUCUUCCUCCGAUUGAGUCCUCUCCUCUCCUCCGAAAAAUGGCUGAAUCGCUAUCACUCCAAUGAGCUUCAGGUUGGAAAAGCUACACUCAUUAGCUCGCACUGCCACGUUAUGCGCCAAGUUCCCGCCGGCACUAUCGCCGGCGACAAAACAACGUUUGAGAUCAGCACAAUCUGGGAAGUCUUCGACUGUUGAGAUUUUACUGUCGAUGAAUUUUAACACAUCAAUCCCGUCGUCAUAUUGACUCGGGUACCGAUUCUCCGGAGCAAGACGGUAGUUGACGGAGAUGACGACGGCGGGGAUCUCCUUGGCGAGCCGUCGACAGUGAUCAUCGAAGCGUUUUGAGUUUGCAGCCAGGAGAACGAAGCCUCCGCCAUGGAAGUAGACAAUCACUGGCAAGCUGCUUGUGGAUGUUUCAGUAACAUUGGUGGGUGUGUAGAGGCGGAACCAGAGAUUGCGGCCGCUGUCUAUGACGAUAUCGGAGGAUUUGACGCCAUUUUUAGGUUGACUUGAAGCAGAGCAUUUUAGAUCAACGAGGUUGAAGAGGCGACGGUUGAAGGUCAUGUUAGGGCGGCAAGAUACGUCGACGGCGAAGGCCACUGCCGACAUUAAGAGCCUUGUUGUCCAUGGAAGGUUUGGUGAGGCUUUAGCUUCAGGGUUUCCUGAAUCUGGCAUGUUGAUAUUAUUAGUUUCUAAUUUUCUAUAAUAACUAACGAGUGAUCACUAUGUCUAGGUCUUUGGCUUUAUCAUAAAAAGAUAAUAAUAAUCAAGUUGAAAGAUUUUUAUGAGCUUUCAAUUAUUGCAGAUAUUAGAUCAUUAGGUAAUCUAGCUGAUCAAAACGGGCUUGCUCAAUGGGAGAAAAACUGAAGUUGGACGUGUUUAUUUUCG
rnacentral:lncRNA from 1 species